UACAGAGGUCUCAAGCGUUGCUCGGAUUCAUUGGGCGUAAAGGGUGUGUAGGUGGCGCGCUAAGUCGGGUGUGAAAUUUCGGAGCUUAACUCCGAAACUGCAUUCGAUACUGGCGUGCUUGAGGACUGGAGAGGAGACUGGAAUUCAAGGUGUAGCAGUGAAAUGCGUAGAGAUCAUGAGGAAGACCAGUGGCGAAGGCGGGUCUCUGGACAGUUCCUGACACUGAGACACGAAGGCCAGGGGAGCAAACGGG
rnacentral:rRNA from 1 species